ACAGCAGUGGGCAGUACAUGUACAUCAGGUUUUACAGCGACAGCUGUACGUACUCAGGCUUCAGGGCUGACAUCGAUGCCGUUGACCAGGAGUCUGUGUCCACGUCUGUGUGUCCUGUCAACGGUAUGUUCUGUCUGCUCUUCCUGGCCAAGUGGAUUACCUGAGGUUCCCCAACCACCCGUCUAACCAUUCCAGUAGCACCCACUGCGAAUGGCUGAUCAACUCUACCAGUGGCUAUGUCGUCAAGUUUACUGUCUUAGAUGCCAGUUCAGACAUCUUUUAUUACAUCGAGAUUUUUGACGGUAUGUCGGAGUCCUCCCCUACACUUGUCACGUUCUAUGGCAUCCCACUUCAGACAGUCUACUACAGCUCUGGACAGUACAUGUACAUCAGGUACACCGGCUUAGGGUCUGUCACCAACUCCGGCCUCAGGGUCACCUACGAGGCUGUUAACCAA